GCGGGGUAACGGCCCACCAAGGCAACGAUCAGUAGGGGUUCUGAGAGGAAGGUCCCCCACAUUGGAACUGAGACACGGUCCAAACUCCUACGGGAGGCAGCAGUGAGGAAUAUUGGUCAAUGGGCGAGAGCCUGAACCAGCCAAGUAGCGUGCAGGAAGACGGCCCUAUGGGUUGUAAACUGCUUUUAUAAGGGAAUAAAGUUAGUCUCGUGAGACUUUUUGCAUGUACCUUAUGAAUAAGGACCGGCUAAUUCCGUGCCAGCAGCCGCGGUAAUACGGAAGGUCCGGGCGUUAUCCGGAUUUAUUGGGUUUAAAGGGAGCGUAGGCCGGAGAUUAAGCGUGUUGUGAAAUGUAGACGCUCAACGUCUGCACUGCAGCGCGAACUGGUUUCCUUGAGUACGCACAAAGUGGGCGGAAUUCGUGGUGUAGCGGUGAAAUGCUUAGAUAUCACGAAGAACUCCGAUUGCGAAGGCAGCUCACUGGAGCGCAACUGACGCUGAAGCUCGAAAGUGCGGGUAUCGAACAGGAUUAGAUACCCUGGUAGUCCGCACGGUAAACGAUGGAUGCCCGCUGUUGGUCUGAACAGGUCAGCGGCCAAGCGAAAGCAUUAAGCAUCCCACCUGGGGAGUACGCCGGCAACGGUGAAACUCAAAGGAAUUGACGGGGGCCCGCACAAGCGGAGGAACAUGUGGUUUAAUUCGAUGAUACGCGAGGAACCUUACCCGGGCUUGAAUUGCAGAGGAAGGAUUUGGAGACAAUGACGCCCUUCGGGGUCUCUGUGAAGGUGCUGCAUGGUUGUCGUCAGCUCGUGCCGUGAGGUGUCGGCUUAAGUGCCAUAACGAGCGCAACCCCUCUCCUUAGUUGCCAUCAGGUUAAGCUGGGCACUCUGGGGACACUGCCACCGUAAGGUGUGAGGAAGGUGGGGAUGACGUCAAAUCAGCACGGCCCUUACGUCCGGGGCUACACACGUGUUACAAUGGCAGGUACAGAGAGACGGUUGUACGUAAGUACGAUCAAAUCCUUAAAGCCUGUCUCAGUUCGGACUGGGGUCUGCAACCCGACCCCACGAAGCUGGAUUCGCUAGUAAUCGCGCAUCAGCCAUGGCGCGGUGAAUACGUUCCCGGGCCUUGUACACACCGCCCGUCAAGCCAUGAAAGCCGGGGGCGCCUAAAGUCCGUGACCGUAAGGAGCGGCCUAGGGCGAAACUGGUAAUUGGGGCUAAGUCGUAACAAGGUA
rnacentral:rRNA from 1 species